GUCUCUGAAUCACUGCCAGCAUCAGAUAAUUUAGCAAUGGUUUUAGGAAUGACUUACCUUUUUCCUCUGUGGAAGGAAAAUCACUUUGUGAUACAUUUUGAAGUGCUAUAGAGCCUUUCAGUGAAUUCAUGCUAUAGCUGAAUUGCACACCUGACAAGAACAGAAAUUAAUUCUUGGGAUAUGGCCACAACAAAAGAAAGCAAAAGAGUCAGCAGAAAGAUAUAUGUCAUCAGAAGACCUAUGUUGAACAUAUGCUCAUAAACAGAUCAGCAUGAACGAGAAGGACGUCAUCAUCCCCACCUGAACCCCAAGCUAUGGUUUCUCCUGGUCAACACAGCAGGUUUAAACAAGUUAGACUUAAACAAGUUAGCACAGUUGGAAAAAGAAUAUAAUGCUCCAGAAGACAGGUACAGUUUGAGACUGUACACUUCUCAUCAGUGAACCACAGACUGGAGCAGAUACAGAAUUGAAGUAUUCAUUUAACUUUACUGUUUGGUGACAUUAAUGCAGAUACAAACAACUUGUCUGGAUUUCAGUGAUGAAUUGAAAGUAAUGAUGCCAGUGAUUUGGGUGCAAUCUUUGGAGAUUCUUUUCUAGAGCAGAGAAAUAUGAACAUGGGAUUUUAAAUUUCCAAAACACGUCCUUACUACACUGAUUGAAUUAAUGGGACAACUGUGUUCCCUGCGUGAUGUUUUUCUAUGGGUUCAGUCUCUGCCUGUGUUUAGAAGCUGCAUCAAGCACUGGAAGAAGAAAGAAGGUGGAGUUAUUUAAUAAAAAACAACAACAGAUAAAAAAACAAACAGUAGUGGCAGAGACAGCAUUAGUAAAGACCGUAGUUAUUCCUUUCAGACUGGUUACAGCAAUGAAGGUGUACAGCAGUGAUGCCUUUAACAAAGCAAGCUGUUCUCAGUUAUUUCCAUUCCAGUGCUGCAAAGGAUUGCAUGGAUGUAGGUUUUCUCUGUUAGCUGAUACCCCCCACUCCUACACACCCUCUCAGCAUGCUAACAUUGCUACAGCUGAGCUUGCAAGGCUGAAGGUGAGAUGUGACUGUGCUCUUGAAUUUGCAGCAUCCCGCAUACAUAGACAGUCCCCUUGUUAGUCCUUUCUAGAGAAUGGGCAUUUGUCCUUUUUCAUCUUGUGUCACUCGUUUCACCUUUGCAUACCACUCUGCAGAGCACUCAUCAUAAGGCUGGAUAUGUGGAGUCACUGCUGGUACUCAGGAGAUGCCAUCAAGGUGCAGAGGCUGUGAGCAAUGACAGGAAAUCUCUGGAGAAACAAGAGGUGCUAUUAGACAGCCACAGUGAUUUGGUGACACACAUCUUUGCCUCCUCUGACAGAACAGUUCUACAUCUCCAUCUCUGUUUGCCACGCUGCGUGCACAUGCACAGUGGGUACAAAGAGCAACCCAGACCUUGAAGCCUGCAACUUUUCUUCCUCUUCUAGUCCCUCCUGAACACUCAUCUCUCACUAAGGCAUGUAUGAAAUGACAGGCAGGUAACAGCUCAGCAGGUGGAAGCCACCCAGGAAUGGCCUACAAGGGGCCUUCUCUGCUGGCGCGCCGCACUCCUCCAGUUCCCUGCUCAACACCCCAGCUGCAUUGCAGAGGCUUUCACAGCUCUGAGCCGAGCCUCUGCCUUAUGUUCAUGUUUCCAUGCAGAGCAAGAGCAGUGCUCAGGAGCUGGGAAGCCCUGAUGAGAUAUUGACAUUCCCUGUGCCCUGGGAGUCUCUCUGGUGCCGUGGGUAUGAUAAUACAUAGAGACCCACAGGGCUCCAUGCAGGGUAGCAGCAGUAGGAAGGAUCGUCCACAGAAAUCACCCUUGUGACCACCAUAAAUGUUGAAUAAUGGUUUAAACCAACAAAAAAAUACAUAUAUUUUAGUAGAUGGCAAGUUCUGUUAGUAAUAAAUAUUUCAGUGUUCAACCCUCUACACAGACCAUUUUUAAAGCCCCACGGGUUUAAUGCUCUACAGUCUGAUUCUUUUUUUUUUUUUUUUUUUUUUUUUUAAGGCUAUAAAUGGCAACUAUUUCAAUGUCUGUGGUAAAUACAAUUCUCUGAACCUUAAAAAAAAAAUUGCAGGUGACAGGUCUUUAAGACCUGGUAUUUACAGCUUGCUGCUCUGAAGGAAAACAUGGUCCUAAAUUUAUUUCAUUUCCCUGUUUUCUGAAAGAGAGCAGUGAAAGGAAAGGAAGAGGGAAGGAACUGAAAAAUGUUUCCAGGGAAUUACUCAAUUUUAUUAAGUUGUUGUUGUGUGCUUUACUUAAGAAGCCAACUUAAAAGUUAUAGGUGGCCUAGAAAUGGAUGAUGUGAUACAAUGGGAAAUUGUUCAAAUUCAACACAGCCGAAGGAUACUCUGGUACUUGGCAGGUAUUUUGACACUUUCAGAUACUUUCCCCCCCUCUUUUUCUUAUGCAAUAUUUAAUCUUAUUGUAACAUUUGUUCCCAUUUCAUUCUGCUUGUCAUUGCCACCUUGCCAGUUGUGUCUUUGGAGACUACAUUUUAAGCGGGAAUUUCUAUAUUCAG
ensembl:lncRNA